UACGUAGGGUGCGAGCGUUAUCCGGAAUCAUUGGGCGUAAAGAGCUCGUAGGCGGUUCAACAAGUCGGCUGUGAAAGUCCGGGGCUCAACCCCGGAAUUGCAGUCGAUACUGUUGUGACUCGAGUCCGGUAGAGGAGAAUGGAAUUCCCGGUGUAGCGGUGGAAUGCGCAGAUAUCGGGAGGAACACCAGUAGCGAAGGCGGUUCUCUGGGCCGGCACUGACGCUGAGGAGCGAAAGCGUGGGGAGCAAACAGGAUUAGAAACCCCCGUAGUCC
rnacentral:rRNA from 1 species